UUUGUUGUAAAUUUAGGUUUGAGUAGUAAUAGAGUUCUUGAAACUAAAAGAGUUUGGCGGUACUUAAGUCUGUUUAGAGGAAUCUGUAUAUAAAUCGAUAGCCCACGAAUAAUCUUACUUAGAAAAGGUAAUAUGUAUAUCGUUGUCAUCAGAAUAAUUUUUAGAAUAUUUUCUUAACGUUGGAGAUUUAUAUGUCAAAUCAAGGUGCAGUUUAUGUCUAAGGUUAUAUGGAUUACAAUACAGGGGUGUAAACGGAAUAUUUUCUGUAAAUGGGGUAUGAAGGUGGAUUUAAUUGUAAUUUUUUAUUAAAAUGGAGAAUUGAAUGGGUACUAAAGUAUGC
rnacentral:rRNA from 1 species